AAAAAAGGAAAAAUAAAUCAGAAAAUUGAAAACACCUCUUGUUUUAGCUGGAAAUUCCACGUGCGGACUGCAAAAGCUGAAAAUGUUAGAGCUUGUUUUUCUUUUCUCUUCUUCAGAAUUGCUUUUCGGCCACAUAAACAACUUUUUAGUAUAUGUAAAAUGUAACGACCCGACCGAUCGUUUUAAGUAUCUGCAAUUCGCUCGGUAUUUUGAAGGCUUGAGUAUUUUCGCAUGAUAUAUUAUGAUUUACAUAAAUCGUCGGAAUUGAUUUUCAAGUUAUCCGGAAUCGAAUUGGAAGAAUGAACUUUAAGAUUUGAGCUAUAAGUUGGAAGAGUUGACCAAGUUUGACUUCUUAACAUUUGACCUCCGUACAAAACCUCAUCAUUUCUACACAUUUUCUUGCUCUUCAAGUUCAAAUCGAAUCAAUGAGGGCCGUAAAUUGAAUGAAUGUCAAUCUAGACCCUCCAUUUGUUCGAUUUCGAACUAUAAAGGAGAGAAAACGCGGGAUUUUGAAGAAAGAGACGAAAAAUCGGAAAAACCUGGAGAGAAAAAUCAGAAAAUUGGAAGAAAAGUUUUAGGGUUCGAAUUUUUGAUUUUCACAUUUUCUCUUCUAAUUUUUUGAGUUUCUGUUUUUCAUAUAUAUAAAAAAAGAACAAAAUCAGUUUCUUCUUGUUUUAAUUCUGCUUCAAAGUCAAGAAAAAUACAAACAAAAAAAUCAAUUUCUUCUUUGGAAUUUUUGAUUUUUCCUUCUAGAUUUCUGUUUUAGUUCAUUAAAAAAAACAAAAGAAGAAUCAGUCCAUUUGCAUUUGAAUCACAUUUCAAAAUCACAAAGCAAAAACUAUAUAGUGAGUAAAAGAGGAUUCUAUUUUUCUUCGCUUCUAUUUCGGAUUCGGAAUUCAACUAUGGAGUUUGAUUGAGGUUUGCCGUGGAGUUGAAGUUGUCUUUCGAGGUCAGCUCGUGGUUCCUUUUAAGUCUCGAAUUUCAGUAGCUGAUUUUCCUUUCAAGCUCGUUGCCUAGUUUUCUGCUGAUUGUACCACAUUCGAACAUCGAAGGAUAAUCGAAAUUCCAGUUUUCAGGUUCAUACCUCAUCCUUUACUGUUUUCAUGUGGAUCCAAGUACUAAGUUAAUCUAAUUUGAAUGAUUUACCUUCUAUGCUUUGGAUGUUCUUAGCUUCCUUUAUAUGUUGAAGUAUCUUUCAAGUUCAGAUUUGUUUAGUUUAAGAUGACCGAGUCGUUGGCUGCGUUUUGUAAGUUUGUUUCGUUUGUCUGCUAAGUUUAACCCGAAACUGAUUCGAAGCUUUCUCUAGUGGUUAUUCAUCUUUGUCGAACUGGUUCGUCAGUUUGUGAAUGGUAAUUGAACUUGAGUUUGUUUGGUUUGAUAUGCUUUGAUCAAGAGUUAGAUGGUUGAGUUACUGUCAAACGGAUCGCGACUCAUUAGUGUGCUUUUCUUGGUGUUACAGUAUGACCGUGUCCAUGUUUUGGCAGUUUGAAAAGGCAGUGAUUCUAAAUUGGGAUUAAUGGUUCUGUUUCUUCUACAGUCAUGACUUGAUGUUAGGUUAACUUUGUGCUUGAUUCAUUCUUGAACUCGUGAGUCGACACAUACUUAGCUUUACUUGUAGGCCAUAGAAGUUAAUGUUCAUGUUCAUGAAAGUCCUGCCAAGGCAGUCUGGCUGCUUUGAUGUGAAUCCUGCGUCAUUAUUCUUCAAGUUCGUCGUGUUUAAAUGUCAUUAGAAGGUAUAAUUGGUGUCAUAAAGUUUGAGAGUUUUUAUAUCUUGAAAUGAGAACUCAAGUUGAAGUCCUUCUCCUGUUUCCUUUAUUUUGUCGACAAUCACUUAGUGAAAUGCCUUGUGAAGGUUCUGUGAUCUUUCUUAACUAACAUUUGGAUCAGCUAAGGGCCCCAAUGUCUUGUUAAAUUGACAAAUAGGCAGAUCGUUACUUAGGUGAACUAAAAGUGACCAUGAUGAGUUUAACAUGAUUAAGCUAAUGAGGUGUCGAGGCGAGAAUUCAAAGUAUAAGUGUAGCAUUGCCUAACCAGUAUGGGUCUUUCUAUUGAAAUUAGUUUGAUCUUUGUUCGUAUUUAGUUGGCAUGCCAAAUUAUGUAAUUUGACACCAUGGCAUAGAGAUUGUUCGUGCGGCUUAUUUGAUGAAUUUGCUGGGAUCUGAUCAAAAGCUUUGUUAGUUAUUUAAUUGAGUUUGUCCACACCUUUCACCAUGGGAUAUGAGUUUUGCUUUGAGCCACUUAGUUAAAAAUAAUGGGAGAAUACACAGAUGAGGUAAUGGAGUAUUAAUAACACUGAUCAUACUUGAAUACACUCUUUAUUUCCUCUAUUAGUAUUUGUAUUUUUUUCUCUUUUUCUUUCAGUUUGGAUACUUAUCUUGCUUGAUUUGCUGACGUUCGGCUGAAUGGUUGUAUUGUCGUGGGAAGUGGAGAGACCAAAGCCCAUUAGUAAUGAAUUUGCUCACAUGUCUUAGGAUUGGGCUUGGCCAAAUGCAUGAAAUAAGAAGUUAAAGUAAGAAUUUUCUUCUACCUUAUUUAGUUGUCUUUCAUUUGUUUAUUUAAUUACAUUGUCCGCUAGGAGCAUGUUUAUGCCGACCAUACAUGGGUAGGCAAGCCUUAGGAUUUUUGUUAAUUGAGGCGAGAGGUCGUUCCCGUAGUUAAAUUUAUCUGGGGAAUGCCCCGUAAAGUUUGUAUAUAUUAUUAUCCGGGGUAUGCCCCGAAGAACUAUGUAAAUAUUUUGGAGGCCAUGGCGAACAUCGUAGAAGAAGUAGCGUAGAAUAGAACUUUAAUAUUUUCUUCUAUUUAUUUUAUCUUUCUUAGGUAGGGACGACCUCUAGCCUCUUGUGUGUUUAUUUUGUUUUGUGUUUUUACCUCAAUUGAAUAUUUUAAAGCCAACUAGAUUGAGUACGCAAUCGUGACUUUCACGGGACUGGGGGAGUGCCUAACACCUUCUCCCCGAGUCAAAUGAACCCCCUUACCCUAAUCUCUGGUGUAGACUUAGUUUUAGAGUUCAAAGUGUUUUGAAAGGAAAAUUAUUAUUUUUAGAAAAAACGGUGACCUGACACACCGAAAUCAAAUGUCAGGUGGCGACUCUGAGUUGUUUCCUUCUGAACACAAUUUUGUCACUUUUUAAUUAAAAACCCUUUUGAGCUUUACAAAUCCUUUUUAUUUAUUUAAGAGGAUGAGUGAGUUUGUAAAAAAAGGGUGUGACAUCCGUUAAAACACUCUCCUUGAUGUUAUUUAUGUUUCUUGCCUUGUGUGUCAUUGAUAUACAUAUGGUAAGGAAGAGUGUAAAGCACGAAGGAUGAUGUCGUGCUAUUGUUUAUACAUUAUCAUGUGAGGGAGAGUGUAAAGCAUGAAUGGUGAUGCCGUGUCAUAUUUUUUAGAGUAAAAGCACGAAGGGUGAUGUCGUUCCAUGUUCUGAGAGUGUAAAGCAUGAAGGGUGAUGCCGUGCCAUUUUAUUUAUAUUGAUAUGCUUUUAUAUCGUUGUGAGGUCAUGGCACGACGGGUGCUUCCGUGCAGGCAAGGAGAGGGACUUGCAUUAUACUGUGAUAUCUGUUUUCCAGUGUAUAUGUUCAUGUCUUUACUUCGAGAUGUUAUUGUCGCAAUCUCAGAUCUGAUGUGACUUGUUGCUAUUGUUCUGUCAUUUAUCUCUAUAUCAAUUGUUGUUGUAUCGCUCAUAUUUUCUGCCUGUUUAACUCGCAAAUAUCAUGCCUAUUUUCCUGCUUUUAUAAUACACUCAUGUCGUAUCUAUUCUGUUGCACUUUGGUACAAGCCUUCCACCAUGCUAGUCAUUCAUGCCUCUACUUGUUAACUUGUAAAGAUCAUGUGCUUCCUUCUUAUUUAUUAUAUUUGUACUUAGGCCUCUAUCAUGCUAGUUUGUUGAAGUUGAUAUUCCUUGUUUCCAAUUGUUGUCAUUGUCACACCUCCUUUUUCAACUACACCCCACAAAGGGGCGUAGAGGGGAGUUUUUCCAAUUAAAGGACAAUUGAAACGGGAUUUAUUUAUUUAUUUCAGAGUCGCCACUUGAGAGAUUUAUUGUGUCCCAAGUCACCGGUUGAAUCCCGAAUCGAGGAAAAGAAUGACUCUGUUUAACAGUCUGCGCACCAGAAAUCCGGAUAAGGAAUUCUGUUAACCCGGGAGAAGGUGUUAGGCAUUCCCGAGUUCCGUGGUUCUAGCACGGCCGCUCAACUGUCAUAUUCGNN
rnacentral:lncRNA from 1 species